GCGAGAGUAGCUCAGCUGGCUAGAGCAUCUCCCUUCCAAGGAGAGGGUCGCGGGUUCGAAUCCCGUCUCUCGCUCCA
rnacentral:tRNA from 1 species